rnacentral:rRNA from 1 species
UACGGAGGGUGCAAGCGUUGUCCGGAUUUAUUGGGUUUAAAGGGUGCGUAGGCGGCUUUAUAAGUCCGUGGUGAAAGCCAACAGCUCAACUGUUGAACUGCCAUGGAUACUGUAAGGCUUGAGUACAGACGAGGUAGGCGGAAUUGAUGGUGUAGCGGUGAAAUGCAUAGAUACCAUCAAGAACACCGAUUGCGAAGGCAGCUUACUAGGCUGUAACUGACGCUGAGGCACGAAAGCGUGGGGAGCGAACAGGAUUAGAAACCCCCGUAGUCC